AAUCUUGAAGAGGGUGACGGGCGGUGUGUGCGUGCUUCAUUGCUCUAUUCAACUAAACACUCUAUUUUUAGUUUACUACUAAAUCCUCCUUUAUCCUGUCGAUUUCAUACAGGGUUUCGUAUGUUCUUACAUAGAAAAUGUAGCCCAUUUCAAUCCAUUUCAUAAGUUACACCUUGACCUAACUUUUUAAUAUUUUAUUAUUGGGCUUACUUAUAGGCCUUUUUAGGGUUUGCUGAAGAUGGCGGUAUAUAGACGGUAUUAGCAAGAAAUGGUAAGGUAUAUCGGGGUUUAUCGAUUACAGAACAGGCUCCUCUAGAUGGAUAUAAAGCACCGCCAAGUCCUUUGAGUUUUAAGCUGUGGCCAGUAGUUCUCGGGCGGGUAGGCUUGUUUUAAACCUAUCUAUGUUUAUGGCUACACAUAGUGGGGUAUCUAAUCCCAGUUUGUGCUAUAGCUUUCGUAUAAUGACUAUAUAAAGUCUCUUUCGAUGUGGUUUUUCAUUCAAGCUAGGACUUUUUACAGAUUAGCUUGAUUUUAGCUUUACUGUGAUGUAAAUCUUAUACUCUUUACGCCGGGGUCUAUUCACUAGGGUCAUUCGUAUGACCGCGGUGGCUGGCACGAAGUUUACCAACCCUUGUAUCAGUAUAACUUAGUCGAACUUUCGUUCAUAGCUUAAAUUUUAUUACUGCUGUUUCCCGUGGGGGUGUGGUUAGACUUGGCGUUGUGAGCAUCAACGAGGACUUGUUGGGAGAGCUUAAGGCCAAACUCCUUUAAUUCUUUUAGAAUUUUAGGGUUUUACUCACCGGUUUACGGAUAUUUGCAUGUAUAAUUUUACUGAUAGCAAAUAAAAAGGCCAGGACCAAACCUUUAUGUUUAUGGAAUUAUGAAAAUUCUUCUAGGCAUUUUCAGUGCCUUGCUUUAUGUAUAAGCUACAUUAACCCCUGCGGGGCCUUAGGAGGUUUAGUACCAACUAAGUUUUUAGUAAGUUCAGAUUAGGGCUAUAUUGGUGGUGAUAUAUGGUUAUAACUAGGCAUGUAGAUGUUAGUAAAAUGUUAAUCUCCUAAGAACAGAAGUGGGAUUAUGUUUGAAAAUUUUUGGGUAAAAUUUUGGUAUUUAUUUCAUGUAUGUCCUCUAGCAUUAAUCAAUAUGGUCCUUUAUAGUUUAUGAGGAGGUAGAAUGUUAGUUAAUAAGUCCAGCUACAUGGGAAUUGCCUGCGACCAUGCCUUGACGGCUUAGCUGAAUCACAGCAUACCGAAUAAAAAAAAAUACCAGGGGUACAUGACUACAGUUAUGUUGAUCAUGGGCUGAUUAGGCCCGGCUCCAUCGAGAUGUCUUAUUUAAGGGGAACGUAUGAGCAAUUUUAAGUGCUAUGGCCCUGAGGUAAGAACCAGAUGUCAGAUAUAGUUUCAGGAUAGCGACCCCCAAGUUGUAUGGGCCCGGAGCGAGAAUUAUUAGUACUAGUGGGCGGGUUGUUGGUUUCACGUGAGAUGGUAGAUUAAGGGACCAAGUGGGGCCGGGGAUAUCCAUGGACUCAAGGAUUGACAAAACUUAAUGGACUAAUGGGGAUAUGUGAUUAUUGUCAUCGAGCAUUAAUGUUAUGUACUGGACAAUAUUCAUGUUGAAAGUGAUUUAAUGUGGAUUAUACAUAAUAAUGUAUAAGCGCUACUAUGUUGCUGCUCAUGUAUGGGGGGUGGGGGGGGCUAUUUUUAGUUAGAGUAGCUAGAGACUAGAAUUUUUUAAAAGUUUUGUUUCUAGGGCUCAAAAUUUAUUCUGCCAUAGCAGUUUGAGGUCGUUAAAUCUCCCAAAUACAGGGAGUAGUUUAAGUAAGAAUACCAGCUUUGGGGGUUGGAGGUAGGAUAGUUUUCUCUCCUUGAGUGCUUUAAGAAGGUGAUCCUUCAUUUUAGGUUUACAAGACCUACGUAAACUGUUAUACUGUUAAAGCUGUCUUCAUUUAAGUAUUUUGUUUUCGAUUAUUCCUGCGAUAGGGAAAAGAAUUAGGAUAAUGGUAAAAUAUAAGAUUGAUGCGAUUUGGCCAAUAAUGAUGAAUGGGGGUUCGACUGGUUGCCCUCCGAUUCAGGUUAAGAUAAAUAGGUCUGAUACUAGAAUUCAGAAUAAUGUUUGACUGAUGGGUCGGAAUGUUAGGCUGCGUUGGUUAGAUGUAUGGAGAAAGGGAAAUAGGGCAAGGACAAGAAUUGAUAGGACUAGGGCAAUUACUCCACCUAGUUUAUUGGGGAUGGAUCGGAGGAUAGCGUAGGCGAAUAAAAAGUAUCAUUCUGGUUUGAUGUGGGGAGGUGUAUUGAGUGGGUUUGCUGGGGUGUAAUUGUCUGGAUCACCUAAGGCGUCUGGAAAGAAUAAAACAAUAGUAAAGAAGAAGGCUAGCAGAGCUGCACCUCCUAAUAGAUCUUUGUACGAGUAGUAGGGGUGGAAUGGGAUUUUGUCUGAGUCUGAUGGAAUUCCUAAUGGGUUGUUGGAGCCUGUUUCGUGAAGGAAUAGGAGGUGAACUAUGGCUAUUGCGGCAAUAAUAAAUGGGAGGAUAAAGUGAAAUGCGAAGAAGCGGUUGAGGGUUGCUUUAUCGACUGAGAAACCGCCUCAGAUUCAUUCUACUAGGUCUGAACCGAUGUAGGGGAUGGCGGACAGUAAAUUAGUAAUUACUGUGGCCCCUCAGAAUGAUAUUUGUCCUCAUGGUAGGACAUAUCCUAUGAAGGCUGUAGCUAUGACUAGAAAAAGUAAUAGGAUUCCAAUGUUUCAAGUUUCUUUAUACAUAUAAGAUCCGUAGUAGAUGCCUCGUCCAAUAUGAAAGUAAAGGCAAAUAAAGAAUAGUGAAGCUCCAUUAGCAUGUAUGUAUCGGAUUAAUCAGCCAUAGUUUACGUCCCGGCAGAUGUGGGCUACGGAAUGAAAUGCUGUUAGUGUGUCAGGGGUGUAGUGUAUUGAUAGAAAUAGACCUGUUAGGAUUUGGAUAAUGAGACAUAGCCCUAGAAGUGAACCGAAGUUUCAUCAUCCUGAAAUAUUGGGAGGUGUGGGUAGAUCAAUGAAGGCAUGAUUGACUAUUUUUAUAAGGGGGUGAGUUUUUCGUAUGAUUGUCAUUAGAGGUUUUUAUAGUUGAAUAGACAACGAUGAUUUUUCAUGUCAUUGGUCAUGGUUUAUAGUCCAUGUAAAAAUUAUGACAAACUUGUUUUAUUUAACAACAAUUUUAAUGGUUUUAGGUUUUAUUGGGGUAGCUGUAAAACCUUCACCUAUUUUUGCAGGGGUUGGUUUACUUAUUGGUGGGGCUGUGGGUUGUGGUCUAUUGGUUUUAAGCGGAAGCUCUUAUAUUGGGUUAAUAGUAUUUUUAAUUUACUUAGGGGGUAUAUUGGUAGUAUUUGGUUAUACAACUGCUAUAGCAACUGACGAUUAUCCUGAGACUUGGGGGUCUAGCUUAUGGUUAUGAUUUCUGUUAUUAUCAGGGAUUCUGUUAGAGGUAGUUUUAGUAAUUACAGUACUACAUUUUGAGGGUUUAGAAGAUUUAAUUGGGUUACAUAAUUUAGACAAUAUCCUAGCGUUUGGUGAAGACGAUGUAUUGCUAGUGCGAGAGGAUUCUCUGGGUACGGCGGCAAUUUAUAGCUAUGGAAAUUGAAUUAUGGUUGUGGGUGGCUGAACUUUAUUUAUGGCUGUAUAUCUUAUUAUUGAGAUUACUCGUGGUGCCUAAUGAAUAAGAAUCAGUAUGAGAAGAACCGAUAAGAUAAAUGAUAAAAAAUAAAAUUUUAUUAUGCCUUGAUGAUUCGAUGUGGAACUAGAGGCAUUUUUACUGAUAGAGACCAGUGCCUUUGGCAUGGUCUUUUCAGUCCACAUAUAAUCUAUAAUUGAUGUUGCUAUUUUUUGGCUGAAUAAUAAGGUUAAGUUAGGAAUUGAUCGGUGGGUGGUGGUUGGGAAGAAUCCUAACAGGGUAGAGAAAUUGGAUGAGUAGGAUUUGGUGUACAGUUUUAGGUAUGAUGUUAUCGUGUUUAGUUCUAUGGCAAUAACAAAUCCUAGUAGGGUAACCGAUAGGGCUGUAAGUUUAAUAAUUAGAGGUAUGGUUAUAGUCUGUGUGCUUGGUGUAUUAAUAAGGUUUGAGAGUAAGAAUCCGGCGAAGAUACUUCCUAGAAGUAGUCGUUUAAUAGGGUUAAUUAGGUUUGGGUUGUUUUCGUUGAUAGAAUUAGUGGGUAGGAAUCGUGGAUGGCCUGAUAGUACGAAGAAAAUAAUGCGUGAGCUGUAAACAGCUGUGAAGGAUGUUGCUACUAGAGUGAUGGUCAAGGCUCAUGAGUUAGUGUAUGACAGAUUUAUAGCUUCAAUGAUGAGGUCUUUUGAGUAAAAUCCUGUUAGAAAGGGUAUACCGGUAAGGGCCAGGCUGCCUACGAUUAGUGCGGAUGUUGUAAAUGGUAUGCACGAGGCGAUUCCCCCUAUCUUUCGAAUGUCUUGUUCGUCAUUUAGGUUGUGGAUGAUUGAGCCAGAGCACAUAAAUAAUAUGGCUUUGAAGAAGGCGUGGGUGCAGAUAUGUAAGAAUGAUAGGUAGGGUUGAUUGAUUCCUAGUGUUACUAUUAUUAGGCCUAGUUGGCUUGAGGUUGAAAAAGCGAUAAUUUUUUUGAUGUCAUUUUGGGUAAGGGCGCAGAUUGCUGUGAAUAAUGUUGUGAUAGCCCCAAUACAUAGGAUAAUAGUUAUUAUAUUGGGGUGAUUAUUUAAUAAUGGGUAAAAUCGGAUUAGGAGGAAGAUUCCUGCUACAACUAUAGUACUUGAGUGAAGUAAGGCUGAGACAGGUGUAGGUCCUUCUAUUGCGCUGGGAAGUCAGGGAUGUAGUCCAAAUUGGGCUGAUUUUCCUGUGGCAGCUAGAAUUAGGCCUAAUAGGGGGACAGCAUUUUCAUUGCUUAUUAAAAAUAUUUGUUGUAAUUCUCAUGAGUUACAGUUAUUGUAGAAUCAUGCUAUUGAUAAAAUGAACCCAAUGUCACCAAUACGGUUGUAGAUAAUGGCUUGUAGGGCUGCGGUGUUUGCGUCUGUUCGUCCGUACCAUCAUCCGAUUAAUAGGAAGGACAUAAUCCCUACUCCUUCUCAGCCAAUGAAUAGUUGGAAUAUAUUAUUAGCUGUGACUAGAAUUAUUAUGGUGAUUAGGAACAGGAGUAGGUAGGUCAUAAAUCGAUUUAAAUUGGGGUCUGAGUGUAUAUAUCAUUUGGAAAAUUCUAUAAUGGAUCAGGUAACAAAUAGGGCGGUUGACAUGAAGAUGGUGACGUAGGAGUCUAGUUUGAAACUUAUGUUUAACUGUAUGGAGUGGAUAGUAAUUCAGUGGUAAUUAGAGAUAACUGCUUCUUCGUUAGUAUAUAUAAAUAUAGUUAAUGGGAUUAGGCUAAUAGUGAAGGCCCAUUUUAUAGCUUUUGUAACUUGGUCUGGGUAAGUUGGUGAAGGUUUGUUGGUUAAGAGGGUUGAUAAUGGUUUUAAAAUGAUUGCUAGAAUAGAUAUAAAUGAUAUAGUAAACAUGAUAAGUUGCUUUAUUUUGGAUUUGCACCAAAUUUUUGGCUCCUAAGGCCACUGGAUUACUGUUAUCCUAAAAAAGCCGGUGAAAAAGCCAUAUUUUUAAGUAUGGGUUGAAGAAUUAGCAGUUCUUCUUUACUUUUUCGGGUAAUUAAAAGAAUAAUAAUUCUUUGUUUCUAGAUUCACAGUCUAAUGUUUUUUUUAAACUAUAAUUACAGUAGGUAAGGCCAAGGAUAAUGUUGGGGUGAAUAGAGAGUAGGAGGAUUGGGGUUAGAUGUAGGAGUAUUAGUGUGUGUUCUCGUGUUUGUGAGGGGUUCAUGUUGAGAGUGUGGUUUGUUAUUUUUCCUCGCUGGGUGGUGAUGAAUAUGUAGAGUGAGUAUAAGGCUGUAAUAAGAACGUUUAAGCCUAUGAGAAUGAUUGUAAGGUUGGAUCAUGAGAAAGUUGAAAUAACAAUUAAUAGCUCUCCGAUGAGGUUAAUUGAUGGGGGUAUUGCUAUGUUAGUUAGGGUUGCUAUAAAUCAUCAGAUGGUUAUUAGAGGGAGGAUAGUUUGAAGACCUCGGGCUAGGACCAUAGUUCGGCUAUGAAUGCGUUCGUAAUUAGUGUUGGCUAGGCAGAAUAGUGCGGAAGACGUAAGUCCGUGGGCAAUUAUUAUGGCGGUGGCACCUAUGUAGCUUGAUGGUGUGUUGAUUAUGAUGGCAACGAUUACUAGGGCUAUAUGGCUGACUGAGGAGUAUGCGAUUAGGGCCUUAAGAUCUGUUUGUCGUAGACAGAUAGAGCUAGUUAUAACUAUGCCUCAUAAUGAGAGUAACAUAAAAGGGUAACAUAUAUUGUUGUUGAGGGGUUCAAUCAGGAUAGCUAGUCGUAUUAUCCCAUAGCCUCCUAGUUUUAGGAGGAUUGCUGCUAGGACUAUUGAUCCUGCGAUGGGGGCUUCGACAUGGGCUUUAGGUAGUCAUAGGUGGAGACCAUAUAGUGGUAUUUUGACUAUAAAGGCUAUCAUGCAAGAUAGUCAUAUGAUGUUAUUAGUUCAGGAAUGUUGUAGAGAGUCGUGAGUGAAGAUAAGUAUGAUUAAGUUAAGGGAUCCUAGUGUAUGAUACAUGUUAAGUAAGGCGAUUAAUAGUGGUAAGGAUCCUACCAGUGUGUAUAAUAGGAAGUAUGAGCCUGCAUUAAGUCGUUCGGCUUGAUUUCCCCAGCGUGUAAUAAUAAUUAGGGUGGGGAUUAGGGUUGAUUCAAAUAAAAUAUAAAAUAUUAUAAGUUCUAAGGAUGAGAAGGUUAUGAUAAGUAGAACUUGUAGGGUUAUUAGGAGGGAGAUAUAUGUUUUUUUUCAUAAUAGAGGUUCUUUAUGUAGAUGGUGUUGGCUUGCUAUGAUUAUAAGGGGGGUUAAUCAUGAUGUCAGAAUUAUUAGAGGGGUGGAGAGGUUGUCUGUGAAGAAUGAUGAAGAGAAGAAAGUUGAUUGGUACGGAGAGCAUAGGGUGGUAAUACAAAUUAGGCUAAUGAGGAAACUGUGGGUGGUUGAGUUAAUUCAGAUUAUUUUUGGGCUAGAGAGUCAUGUUAUGGGAAUUACUAUAAUUAUGGGAAUAAUAAUUUUUAGCAUUGUAAGAGGUUUAGGUUUUGUACGUAGUCUGAGCCGUAAGUAUUUGAGAUUUUUACUAGCAGGGCUAGUCCGAUUGCUGCUUCACAUGCGGCUAGGACUAAUAUAAUAAUGGGUAUUAUGAAAGAUAAGUUUAUGUGGAAGGAUGUUGAUAGGAGUGCUAUUAUUAGGAAGAGGGUUAAUAUUAUUCCUUCUAGGCAUAGGAGAGAGGAUAUCAGGUGCGAUCGGAAUAUUAAUAUUCCUGCUAAUGAAAUAAAAAAUGCGAUGUUGAGGUUUAUUAUAGUGAAGGGCAUAUCUAGCAGUUAUGAGCUUUCAUAAUUUAAUGAGCCGAAAUCAAUUGUUUUAGUUUAAACUAACUGCUAUAUUCAUUUCAUUCUAGGCCGUUUUGUGAUCAUUCGUAAGCUAAGCCUAGUGUUAAAAUUACAAUUAGGGCUAGUGCUAUUGUGGUUGUAGAUAAAAUUGAUGGAUAUUGAAAGGCUCAUGGUAGGGGUAGAAGUAGGGCGAUUUCUAGAUCAAAUAGUAGAAAGGUAAUAGCUACUAAGAAGAAUUUUAUUGAAAAGGGUAGGCGGGCUGAAUUAAUUGGAUCAAAACCACAUUCGUAGGGGCUUACUUUUUCUGAAUAUAGGUUUAUUUGGGGAAUUCAAAAUGCAAUUAUAGUUAAUAGGCUGGCUAGGGUUAGGUUGAUGCUUAAGGCAAUAAUUAGAUUUAUUAUUCUUUUUUGGGUUAUACCAAAGUCUUCUGAUUGGAAGUCAGAUAUACUGCUUGUACUAAAAGAAUAUGAACCUCAUCAAUAAAUAGAGAUAUAGAGGAAUAGUCAUACUACAUCUACGAAGUGUCAAUAUCAAGCUGCUGCUUCGAAGCCGAAGUGAUGGGUUGAUGUAAAGUGAUACAGUGUAUGGCGGAUGAGACAGACAAUUAGGAAGGUAGUACCAAUUAUAACGUGUAGACCGUGGAAUCCUGUUGCUAUAAAGAAAGUGGACCCAUAGACUCCGUCAGCAAUAGUGAAGGAUGCUUCCAUGUACUCAAAUGCUUGAAGUAUUGUGAAGUAGAUUCCUAGGGCGAUAGUGAUGGCGAGGGCUUGGGAUGUGUGGGAUCGACUUCCUUCUAUUAGACUAUGGUGAGCUCAUGUGAUAGACACUCCUGAGGCUAGGAGGACAGAGGUAUUAAGUAGAGGGACUUCUAGGGGGUUAAGAGGGAUGAUACCUGCAGGUGGUCAGCAGCCCCCUAGUUCUGGUGUGGGGGCUAGGCUCGAGUGGUAGAAUGCUCAGAAAAAGCCUGCGAAGAAAAAGACUUCGGAGAUAAUGAAUAGGACUAUACCGUAGCGAAGUCCUUUUUGUACUACGGGAGUAUGGUGGCCUUGGAAUGUUCCUUCUCGAAUGAUGUCUCGUCAUCAUUGGUACAUAGUAAGUAUAUUGGUAAGUAGGCCGAUAAUUAGAAGAGUAAUUAUUUUAAAGUGAAAUCAUAUGAUAAUUCCGGAGGUUAAAAGGAGGGCAGAUAGGGCUCCUGUUAGUGGCCAUGGGCUAGGAUUGACUAUGUGGAAGGCGUGUGUUUGGUGAGUCAUUAUGUGUUAUCAUGCAAAUAUAGGCUGACUAGUAGGGUAAACACGUAGGCCUGAAUAAUGGCUACGGCUAAUUCAAGUACGGUGAGGAGUGUUAAUACUGUUAAUGAUAAUAGGGAGGCAGGGGGGCUUAAGGUUAUUAUUGCUAAGGUUGCUCCACUGAUUAAGUGAAUUAAUAAGUGCCCAGCUGUAAUAUUAGCUGUUAGUCGUACGGCUAAGGCAAUGGGUUGAAUGAAUAGGCUGAUUGUUUCGAUAAUAAUUAGCAUGGGGAUUAGAGGUAGUGGGGUACCUUGGGGAAGAAAGUGGGCUAAGGAAGAUUUAGUUUUGUAUCGGAAUCCUAGGAAUACAGCUCCGGCCCAUAGGGGGGUAGCUAUAGCUAGGUUUAUUGAUAAUUGAGUGGUAGGGGUAAAUGAGUGAGGUAUUAGACCUAACAGGUUGGUGGAGGCAAUAAAGGAAAUGGUGGAAAUUAAUAUGAGAGCUCAGGACCGUCCUUUAGUUGAGUGGGUUAGCAUUAUUUGUUUAGUUACCAGUUGGAUUAGUCAUGUCUGGAAUGUUGUGUAACGGUUGCUAAUUAAACGUUUUGGGGAAGGAAAUAUAAUUGAGGGUAAAAUAAUGAUAAUAAUAACUAGAGGGAGGCCUAGGAAUGAUGGGACAAUGAAAGGGGAGAAUAAAUUUUCGUUCAUUUAGAUUCUCAAGGGGAGGUAACUUUGAGUAUACUGGAGGGUUUAGUUGAAGGAGGGUGAUAGGUACUAAAGUUUUUGAUUUUUAGUUGAAAGAUAAUAAAUAGGGUAAUUAGGGUUCCAAAAAUUACUAUAAGUCAUGGUGCGGUGUUUAGCUGAGGCAUUCUCAUUGUGGAAUUAUUUAAUUCUAUCUUUAACUUAAAAGGUUAAUGCUAAAGUAGCUUCACAAUGGUGUCUACAUUGAUGUUGAUCAGGCCUCAAAAUAUUUUAGUGGAACCAUUUCUAGGACGAUAGGCAUGAAGCUGUGGUUAGAUCCACAGAUUUCGGAGCAUUGUCCGUAGAAUAGGCCUGGUCGGGAAGAUGAUACUGUUGCUUGGUUUAGGCGGCCUGGAAUGGCAUCUGUUUUUAAACCUAAAGAUGGAACCGCCCAAGAGUGAAGAACAUCUUCCGAUGAGAUUAGUAUACGAAUGGGGAGUUCCAUAGGGAGAACAACCCGAUUGUCAACUUCAAGUAGACGAAGAUCCCCCGGUUUUAAGUCUGGUGUAUUGACUAUGUAUGAAUCAAAUGUUAAGUCCUCAUAGUCUGUAUACUCAUAGCUUCAGUACCAUUGGUGUCCUAUAGUUUUCACUGUUAGGACUGGAUUGUUAAUUUCGUCUAUUAUAUAUAGAACGCGUAGUGAGGGAAGGGCAAUCAUAAUAAGGAUAAUGGCUGGAAGAAUAGUCCAGAUUGUUUCUACCUCCUGGGCGUCUAUGGUAUUGGUGUGGGUUAAUUUGGUGGUGAGUAUAAGAGAAAUAAUAUACAGUACUAAUGUACUAAUAAGAAAAACGAUUAUUAGUGUGUGGUCGUGGAAGCUAGUAAGUUCCUCUAUGAUAGGAGAGGUGGCAUCCUGUAGACCAAGUUGGAGAGGAUAUGCCAUGUAAGAUAUAUAAGAGUUUCACUUAUGAUUUAACCUUGACAAAGUUAUGUAAUUUUUUUUACUAAUAUCUUAUUGAGAAAGACAUAAUGGUGUAUGGGGCUGGCUUGAAACCAGUUUUAGGGGGUUCGAAUCCUUCCUUUCUUAGUGUGAUGACUUCACGAAAGCAGGUUCUUCAAAUGUGUGGAAAGGUGGGGGACAUCCGUGGAUUCAUUCUAGAUUUGUUGAGGUGAGUUCAACAUAUUUAACUUCACGUUUGGAGGCGAAGGCCUCUCAGAUCAUGAAUACUAUGAGGAUUACUGCGGUUAAAGAAAUAAAUGAGCCUAUUGAUGACACGGCGUUUCAUGUUGUGUAGGCAUCUGGGUAGUCUGAGUAUCGUCGGGGUAUUCCUGCUAGUCCAAGGAAAUGUUGGGGAAAAAAUGUUAGGUUGACUCCAACAAAUAUAAUUGUAAAAUGGAUUUUGGCUCAUAUAUCAUUAAGAGUGUAGCCUGUGAAUAGAGGAAAUCAAUGGACAAACCCACCUAUAAUGGCGAAUACAGCCCCUAUAGAUAGGACAUAGUGAAAGUGGGCAACUACAUAAUAGGUAUCAUGUAGGACAAUGUCUAGAGAGGAAUUAGAUAGUACAAUACCGGUCAGUCCUCCUACUGUAAAUAGGAAAAUAAAGCCCAGGGACCAUAAUAUGGCUGGGGAUCAUUUAAUAUUUCCACCGUGAAGGGUAGCUAGUCAGCUGAAAACUUUUACUCCUGUUGGAAUAGCAAUAAUUAUUGUGGCAGAUGUAAAAUAGGCUCGUGUAUCCACGUCUAUUCCUACGGUAAACAUGUGAUGGGCUCAUACGAUAAAUCCUAAGAAUCCAAUGGAUAUUAUAGCUCAGACUAUACCCAUAUAGCCAAAGGGUUCUUUUUUGCCUGAGUAAUAUGUUACAAUAUGAGAGAUAAUGCCGAAGCCUGGUAAAAUUAGGAUAUAAACUUCCGGGUGGCCAAAGAAUCAGAAUAGGUGUUGGUAUAAGAUGGGGUCUCCACCUCCAGCAGGGUCAAAAAAUGUUGUGUUAAGAUUUCGAUCAGUGAGCAGUAUAGUAAUACCGGCAGCUAGGACAGGUAGGGAUAGUAGUAAUAAUACUGCUGUAAUUAGAACGGAUCAAACGAAUAAGGGGGUUUGAUACUGGGAAACUGCAGGGGAUUUUAUGUUAAUGAUGGUGGUGAUAAAAUUGAUUGCUCCUAAAAUUGAGGAUACUCCUGCCAGGUGGAGUGAGAAGAUAGUUAAAUCUACGGAAGCUCCUGCAUGUGCUAGGUUUCCGGCAAGGGGAGGAUAGACUGUUCACCCGGUUCCAGCCCCAGCUUCUACUAUAGAGGAUGCUAAAAGAAGUAGGAAAGAAGGGGGGAGUAGUCAAAAGCUCAUGUUAUUUAUUCGUGGGAAUGCUAUAUCAGGGGCCCCGAUUAUUAGAGGCACUAGUCAGUUUCCAAAUCCCCCAAUUAUAAUGGGUAUUACUAUAAAGAAAAUUAUGACAAAUGCAUGAGCGGUUACAACCACAUUGUAAAUUUGGUCAUCCCCUAAUAGAGCUCCGGGUUGACCGAGCUCAGCUCGAAUUAGAAUACUCAGCCCUGUGCCUACUAUUCCGGCUCAAGCUCCGAAUAUGAGGUAGAGUGUUCCAAUAUCUUUAUGGUUUGUUGAAAAUAAUCAACGAUUAAUGAACAUAGGUAGAUAGGAUGGCUGAGUAAGGCAUUGGACUGUAAAUCCAAGUACAGGGAUAAACCCCUUUCUAUCAUAGUCCUGUGGUGAAUUUUCAUAUUGAAUUGCAAAUUCAAAGGAGCAGCUUCAAUUCUGCCGGGACUUCUCCCGCCUCUGUUUUUUUUUAGGCGGGAGAAGUAGAUUGAAGCCAGGUGAUUUUGGUGUUUAGCUGUUAACUAAAAUUUUGCAGGUUUAACUCCUGUCAAUCUAGGGAGGACUUAGCUUAAUUAAAGCUGUUGGUUUGCGUCCAGAAGAUGUGAGGUAGGUCUUACAGUCCUUAGGGGCAGAAAUUAAACUUUAGUGUUUACUUAGGGCUUUGAAGGCCCUUGGUCUUUUUAACCUAAAUUUCUAUAGGAGGCAGAGGAAGAAGGGAGAUAGUGGAAGUGACAGUGAAGAUAAAAGUAAUAGGGUAGGGAUUGGGGUUAGAUGCUUGUAGUUAUAUAUUCGUCAUGUAAAUUUGUUAUUGUUUGGAAGGGGAAAUAGAGUAAGGGCGGAUGAGUAAACUAGUCGUAGGUAAAAAUAAAGGUUUAGGAGGGCUGAUAUUACUAUGAAUACGCUUGUUAUAAUGUUUUUGUUGGUGAUUAUUUCUUGAAUAAUGAAUCAUUUUGGUAGGAAUCCUGUUAAAGGGGGUAAUCCUCCUAAUGAUAAGAGGGUAAUCAGGAUAAUGAGGGUUAUUAGUGGGGUAGUGUUUCAUGCUAUUGUAAGGGUUGAAGUGUUGUUUGCUGAUAAAAAAUUUAGGGUUAUAAAUAUAUUAAUUGUAAGUAUAAUGUAAAUAAGUAAAUUUAGUAUUAUUGCAGUAGGGUUGUAAAGUGUUGCUGCUGUUAUUCAUCCUAUAUGUGCAAUUGAUGAGUAUGCUAGGAUUUUGCGUAUUUGGGUUUGGUUUAAUCCUCCUCAUCCUCCAAUAAUAAUGGAUAGUAUGGCUAUUAGUAUUAUUAUGUUUGUGUUUAGAUUGUUAGAUAUUUGGUAUAAGAUUGAAAUAGGGGCUAGUUUUUGCCAGGUUAGUAGGAUUAUUCCUACUAUCAGGGGGAUGCCUUGGGUGACUUCUGGUACUCACAGGUGAAAGGGGGCUAGGCCAAGUUUUAUAGCUAAGGCGAUAGGUAGGAGAUAUUGAGAUAUGUCAUUUUCAUGUUGACUCAUAAUUCAUUGUCCGGUUGAGUUUAGGUUAUUUAGGAUGUAGAAUACGAGAAUUAUUGAGGCGGUUGCUUGGGUUAGAAAGUAUUUUGUAGCGGCUUCUGUGGAUCGAGGGUUAUUUUUAUAUGUUAUUAGUGGAAUAAUGGCUAGUAUACUGAUUUCUAGUCCGAUUCAUAUAUAUAUUCAGUGUGUGGCGGAUAGGACUAUUAUGGUUCCUGCAAAUAUUGUGGUCGCAAUGAGUGAAGAGACGAUGAUAUUUAUUAGUAUGGGAAGGGUUAAACCAACAUUUUCGGGGUAUGGGCCCGAUAGCUUGUAUUAGCUUACCUUACUAGAAUUUAGUGUAAUGGGUAGCACUAAGAAUUUUGAGUUCUUAAGUUAGGUUCGAUCCCUAUAAUUCUAGAAAUAAAAGGGUUAGUACCUUUAUGCUUUACUCUAUCAAAGUAACUCUUUUGUCAGACAUAUUUCUAUAUAAGUGGGGGUAUGCUUGCUGUGGCUAUGGGGAGGGAGAUGUGCCAUAUACAUAGGGCUAAGGUUAGAGGUAGAAAAUUUUUUCAUAGAAGGUGUAUUAGUUGAUCGUAUCGGAAUCGUGGAUAUGAUGCUCGAAUUCAUAGAAACAGGACUGUUAAGAUUAAAAUUUUUAUCAUUAGGUUGGAGGAUAAUAUCUCUGGGUUUGUGAUGGAGUAGGUGGGGCCUAAAAAUAGGAUGGUAGUGAGUGUAUUUAUUAGAAUGAUGUUUAUGUAUUCUGCUAUGAAAAAUAAGGCGAAGGGUCCAGCUGCAUAUUCGACGUUAAAUCCCGAGACUAGUUCUGACUCCCCUUCGGUUAGGUCGAAUGGGGCUCGAUUGGUUUCAGCUAGGGUUGAGAUAAAUCAUAUUAUGGCUAGGGGUCAUGCUGGUAAAAUUAUUCAGAUAAAUUCUUGAGACAUAGAUAAUGAGAUUAUUGAAAAUGGGCCUGCUAGGAGUAUUGUUGAUAGGAGGAUAAUUGCUAGGCUUACUUCAUAGGAGAUAGUUUGAGCCAUGGCUCGGAGAGCCCCGAAUAUGGCAUAUUUAGAAUUGGAGGCUCAUCCGGAUCAUAGGAUGGAAUAAACUGCUAUGCUAGAGGCUGCUAAGAUAAAUAGAAACCCUAUGUUCAUGUUAAUUAGGGAGUGGGGCAUUGGGAUAGGGAUUCAUAAUGAGAGGGCGAGGGCGAGGGCGAGGAUAGGGGAAAUUGAGAAUAGAAUUAGUGAGGAGGUGGCUGGGCGUACUGGUUCUUUGAUAAAUAGUUUGAUUGCAUCUGCGAAUGGUUGGAAUAUUCCAUAUGGACCCACAAUGUUUGGUCCUUUUCGUAGUUGUAUAUAGCCUAAGAUUUUUCGUUCUAACAGGGUGAGGAAGGCUAUUGCUAGUAGAAUUGGAAUGAUGAAUGUAAGAAAGUUAAGGAUAAACAUGUUGUUAAGAAGAGGAGUUGAACCUCUGAUAAUAAAGUUUUAAGUCUUAUGCAAUUGCCUGCUCUGCCAUCUUAACAACUCCUUAUCUUGGAGUGUUAUUUGGUUAUACAACUGCUAUAGCAACUGACGAUUAUCCUGAGACUUGGGGGUCUAGCUUAUGGUUAUGAUUUCUGUUAUUAUCAGGGAUUCUGUUAGA